rnacentral:lncRNA from 1 species
CCUGCCGCCCGGAUUCUUGGGAUCCAGUUGUCACGCCUAAUUUCGGUAAUGUACACAAACUUUUUGGCCUCUAGACCUUAUUUCUUAAGUGAAUGGAUACUGGUGUGGAUCCUUUCUGAAUGGAUACUGGUGUGGAUCCUUUCUGAAUGGAUACUGGUGUGGAUGUGUCUUUCUGAAUGAAUGUGCACUUUUAAUUAAUUUCCUUCUGAAUAGAGACUACAGUCAUCUGAAUGGCUGAUUAGCUUUCGGUUUGUGAAACGGAAUUCGGUUCUUGCUGUGGCUAUGUUUUGUCCAGAAUGCUAGAUGCAAGCCCACGUGGUUAGAGCAUGUCUAGCCAUUCCCUCAAAUCUUUAUAACAAGAGGCAAAUUGUGUCCUGAAUUUUUCUGUGAGCGACCCAUUUGCCUUCACCAGCCGGGUGUUGGGGACGUGUUCUUGUUGGUCAGUAUCGAUCAUUGGUGUUUUACCUUGACACUUGUUUUGGUCCUGACCUGUUUUGCUCUGCUUUUGAAAUACUUGCGAGCUGAUCCGCCCCGUGGUCUCUGCUUCAUUCUGUGUAUUAAGUGGUCUUCUUGAUAUUUAUCAAUUGUUAUGCCUCAUAUCACCACUUUUUGAGCUGGAGAAUUGAUUCGUUAUACUGUAUCAUAAUAAAUGAUAUGCUACUAUAUUAUAGUACUAACACUUGGAUUAGUGAGAGAGAGAGAAACGUACAUAUUUCUGUGAGAUCUCUGUGAUGAGUAGUCGGAUCACUACUACAUGUUUCUGUGACAUAGUACAACAGUGUACAUGAUGCAAUCAAAAUGAACAUGCUUUCACAGGAACAUGCAUUCCGGAGUGUACAGGAUAGGAUGGCCUUGUGCUAUCUACUCCCUCUGUUCUCAACUUAGAUAUGUUCUUAUUUUGAUAGAAUCCUGCCGCUUGGAUAUCUUCUUAUUUUAAGAGUAAAUUUAUUCCAGGGCCAAAGACUUGUACAUGUUCAGUUUAGUACUGUAUUGAACUAGUUUUGCUUUGACAAUUGUGGCUGGCUGAUGUAUCUCUGCUGCUGACUCUGCUUAUCUGCAAGUAGAAGUAGUAGUAGUAGUUUCUGUGGUACUACUAUAUGUAUCUCUGCAUUUGUAUUUUAUUAUCUGCAAGUAGUAGGGCUUGUUUUACAUGUAUUAUGCUUAGUUGAUUACUAUGUUCCGGCGAUACUUGACGAAAUCUAUUAUUAUGCUUUCAUAUGUAUUACUCCCUCUGUAAAUAGAACUAAUGUUCAUCUAGCAAAGCUAUUUGCUGUAACAGUUUUUCUCAAGGCACUCUAAUAUUCAUCUCUUUUUGUUUCAUUAGGUUCUCAAGCACCAAAAGAAGGCACAAUAAACAAGCCGAAUGGAUAAAUUUCUCCCAGGUUCUCAAUGCUAGAUGACCAUGACACCAAGAGAUGGAUACAUUUGUUUGCAUUAUCUUUGUUGCAAAAUGAUGUUGUGGCUGUGAUGAACUGUUUGCUGUGAAAGAUUAUGUUGUUAUGAUAAAUUAUGAAUGCUGGGAUUUGGGAUUCAAAGAUUAUGAUAAAUUAUGUUGUUGCCGUGAUGAGAUAUUGCUUUCAAGUCAUGCAAAUUUAUGUUGUUG